CAGUCGCCGCGGGAAUACGUAGGUCCCGAGCGUUGUCCGGAUUUAUUGGGCGUAAAGGGAGCGCAGGCGGUUUAGUAAGUCUGAAGUUAAAGGCAUUGGCUCAACCAAUGUAUGCUUUGGAAACUGUUAGACUUGAGUGCAGAAGGGGAGAGUGGAAUUCCAUGUGUAGCGGUGAAAUGCGUAGAUAUAUGGAGGAACACCGGUGGCGAAAGCGGCUCUCUGGUCUGUCACUGACGCUGAGGCUCGAAAGCGUGGGUAGCGAACAGGAUUAGAUACCCGCGUAGUCCCUGUCUCUUAUACA
rnacentral:rRNA from 1 species